GUAAUCCUCCUUUCUGGUUGGUCUGAGUAUUACAACCUUCGGUCUUUGCCCUUGUCAAGCCCUGUUGCUGACAUUCUCUCUCAUCCAUUGACAGUAUACUACGCAUUAACUGCUCUUAGUGUCAGUUCCAAAAACCUUUUACUGAAAGGCAAAGAGGUGAUUGUUCACUACCUUGGACCUAAAGGGGAGUUGGAUUGGAUGCCAGCGUUUGCGGAGAUCGGUCAUCUGCUCAAUGGUCUGGGCAGUAUACAGAUGUUUAUGAUUGGCCCUGAAGUACCAACAAAUUUAUCUGGGACAACAUCUGGAGUAAGCAGCAGAGUCAGGAUCAAUUUUGUAAGAGGUAUUUAUCAAGAGGAAGUUGCUUACCUUCCUAGUCCGCAAGUUAUCUUGGCUUUAAAUUGUGAGUUGGAGACCAAUGCAAGUUGGGUUGGAGCACUUGACUUGAUAAAUUUGAGGGAACAUCCAGCCUUCUUCUCUUGUCAGUCUGAGAUUUCAAGCUCAAGUGCCAAACAAGUUCUUCGUAGUGCAGGCUUGCAUAUUAGCUAUCCUAUGACACCAAAUCCUUUCAGGUCUCCAGUUAGGAAUUAUGGGCCUUCUAGCAAUUUUCCAUCCUAUAGCAAUGGUUUUCUGCUAGGAGUAAAUACCUGAUCCACAAUUUAUCAGAGAGUACUAACCUGGAAUUAUGGUUUUGCUGUCAUGCCGCAACUUAAUAAAUUCUUGUGGAAGAGAAACACUGAUGAGUAAUCUAAUCACGUUUAGGACAUGUACUGAUUUGUUGUUAUAAUUUUUCUAUUUUUGGCUGUUUUUGCUUGGCCGCAGCUGCUGUAUUUAAUCAACGUUGCAGCCAAUUAUUCAUCUCAGCAAGAUCUUGUCCUUUG
rnacentral:lncRNA from 1 species